rnacentral:lncRNA from 1 species
AAACAAAAAAUAUGAAAAUCAUCACACGACAAAAACUCUUCUCUGUGAAUUUUCAAAGAAGUUUUUCUUUCCAACCAUACAACUCCAGGUGAAUCAAGUUAUAUAUAGGUUUACAUUUCUAGAAAAUCAUAUCGAUAAGUUCAUCUUCUAAACCCUUUCUUCUUCUUCUUUUUCUCAUUGUGUGUUUAUUGGUUUUCAUACUUCAGAAAUUCUUGCGGUGAAAAAGGACAAAGAUACUUCAAAGCAAGAGUUUUUUUAGAGGAAGAAGAUUUGAAGUUUUUUAAGAGGAAGAACUGAAAUUUCUCAGAAGAAGGAACAAAUAACAAAGGAAGAAGCAUGGAGCAAAGGAAGAUUGAUUAUUCAUGUGUUUAGACGUGAGAAACCAAAACCCAAUUGUAAUAUAUUUUUUUAAUAAAGAUUUGAUUAUUCAUGUGAUAUAUUUGAUUAGAUUUUUAGUAGAUAUAUUGCAACAAGAUUUUGAGAGAAAAUAUCCACCAUAAUUU